rnacentral:rRNA from 1 species
CAGGGUGACAGCCCCGUACACAAAAAUGCACAUGCUGUGAGCUCGAUGAGUAGGGCGGGACACGUGGUAUCCUGUCUGAAUAUGGGGGGACCAUCCUCCAAGGCUAAAUACUCCUGACUGACCGAUAGUGAACCAGUACCGUGAGGGAAAGGCGAAAAGAACCCCGGCGAGGGGAGUGAAAAAGAACCUGAAACCGUGUACGUACAAGCAGUGGGAGCCUCUUUAUGGGGUGACUGCGUACCUUUUGUAUAAUGGGUCAGCGACUUAUAUUCUGUAGCAAGGUUAACCGAAUAGGGGAGCCGAAGGGAAACCGAGUCUUAACUGGGCGUUAAGUUGCAGGGUAUAGACCCGAAACCCGGUGAUCUAGCCAUGGGCAGGUUGAAGGUUGGGUAACACUAACUGGAGGACCGAACCGACUAAUGUUGAAAAAUUAGCGGAUGACUUGUGGCUGGGGGUGAAAGGCCAAUCAAACCGGGAGAUAGCUGGUUCUCCCCGAAAGCUAUUUAGGUAGCGCCUCGUGAACUCAUCUCCGGGGGUAGAGCACUGUUUCGGCAAGGGGGUCAUCCCGACUUACCAACCCGAUGCAAACUGCGAAUACCGGAGAAUGUUAUCACGGGAGACACACGGCGGGUGCUAACGUCCGUCGUGAAGAGGGAAACAACCCAGACCGCCAGCUAAGGUCCCAAAGUCAUGGUUAAGUGGGAAACGAUGUGGGAAGGCCCAGACAGCCAGGAUGUUGGGUUAGAAGCAGCCAUCAUUUAAAGAAAGCGUAAUAGCUCACUGGUCGAGUCGGCCUGCGCGGAAGAUGUAACGGGGCUAAACCAUGCACCGAAGCUGCGGCAGCGACGCUUAUGCGUUGUUGGGUAGGGGAGCGUUCUGUAAGCCUGCGAAGGUGUGCUGUGAGGCAUGCUAGAGGUAUCAGAAGUGCGAAUGCUGACAUAAGUAACGAUAAAGCGGGUGAAAAGCCCGCUCGCCGGAAGACCAAGGGUUCCUGUCCAACGUUAAUCGGGGCAGGGUGAGUCGACCCCUAAGGCGAGGCCGAAAGGCGUAGUCGAUGGGAAACAGGUUAAUAUUCCUGUACUUGGUGUUACUGCGAAGGGGGGACGGAGAAGGCUAUGUUGGCCGGGCGACGGUUGUCCCGGUUUAAGCGUGUAGGCUGGUUUUCCAGGCAAAUCCGGAAAAUCAAGGCUGAGGCGUGAUGACGAGGCACUACGGUGCUGAAGCAACAAAUGCCCUGCUUCCAGGAAAAGCCUCUAAGCAUCAGGUAACAUCAAAUCGUACCCCAAACCGACACAGGUGGUCAGGUAGAGAAUACCAAGGCGCUUGAGAGAACUCGGGUGAAGGAACUAGGCAAAAUGGUGCCGUAACUUCGGGAGAAGGCACGCUGAUACGUAGGUGAAGCGACUUGCUCGUGGAGCUGAAAUCAGUCGAAGAUACCAGCUGGCUGCAACUGUUUAUUAAAAACACAGCACUGUGCAAACACGAAAGUGGACGUAUACGGUGUGACGCCUGCCCGGUGCCGGAAGGUUAAUUGAUGGGGUUAGCGGUAACGCGAAGCUCUUGAUCGAAGCCCCGGUAAACGGCGGCCGUAACUAUAACGGUCCUAAGGUAGCGAAAUUCCUUGUCGGGUAAGUUCCGACCUGCACGAAUGGCGUAAUGAUGGCCAGGCUGUCUCCACCCGAGACUCAGUGAAAUUGAACUCGCUGUGAAGAUGCAGUGUACCCGCGGCAAGACGGAAAGACCCCGUGAACCUUUACUAUAGCUUGACACUGAACAUUGAGCCUUGAUGUGUAGGAUAGGUGGGAGGCUUUGAAGUGUGGACGCCAGUCUGCAUGGAGCCGACCUUGAAAUACCACCCUUUAAUGUUUGAUGUUCUAACGUUGGCCCCUAAUCGGGGUUGCGGACAGUGUCUGGUGGGUAGUUUGACUGGGGCGGUCUCCUCCUAAAGAGUAACGGAGGAGCACGAAGGUUGGCUAAUCCUGGUCGGACAUCAGGAGGUUAGUGCAAUGGCAUAAGCCAGCUUGACUGCGAGCGUGACGGCGCGAGCAGGUGCGAAAGCAGGUCAUAGUGAUCCGGUGGUUCUGAAUGGAAGGGCCAUCGCUCAACGGAUAAAAGGUACUCCGGGGAUAACAGGCUGAUACCGCCCAAGAGUUCAUAUCGACGGCGGUGUUUGGCACCUCGAUGUCGGCUCAUCACAUCCUGGGGCUGAAGUAGGUCCCAAGGGUAUGGCUGUUCGCCAUUUAAAGUGGUACGCGAGCUGGGUUUAGAACGUCGUGAGACAGUUCGGUCCCUAUCUGCCGUGGGCGCUGGAGAACUGAGGGGGGCUGCUCCUAGUACGAGAGGACCGGAGUGGACGCAUCACUGGUGUUCGGGUUGUCAUGCCAAUGGCACUGCCCGGUAGCUAAAUGCGGAAGAGAUAAGUGCUGAAAGCAUCUAAGCACGAAACUUGCCCCGAGAUGAGUUCUCCCUGACUCCUUGAGAGUCCUGAAGGAACGUUGAAGACGACGACGUUGAUAGGCCGGGUGUGUAAGCGCAGCGAUGCGUUGAGCUAACCGGUACUAAUGAACCGUGAGGCUUAACCUU